CCUACGGGUGGCAGCAGUGGGGAAUAUUUGGCAAUGGGCGCAAGCCUGACCCAGCAAUGCCGCGUGAAGGAAGAAGGCUUUCGGGUUGUAAACUUCUUUGACAGGGGAAGAGCAGAAGACGGUACCCUUAAAACAAGCUACGGCUAACUACGUGCCAGCAGCCGCGGUCAUACGUAUGUGUCAAGCGUUGUCCGGAUUUACUGGGUGUAAAGGGCGUGUAACCGGGAAGGCAAGUCAGAUGUGAAAUCUGGAGGCUCAACCUCCAAAUUUCAUUUGAAACUGUUUUUCUUGAGUACUGGAGAGGCAGACGGAAUUCCUUGUGUAGCUGUGAAAUGCGUAGAUAUAAAGAGGAACACCAGUGGCGAAGGCGGUCUGCUGGACAGCAACUGACGGUGAGGCGCGAAAGCGUGGGGAGCAAACAGGAUUAGAUACCCCUGUAGUC
rnacentral:rRNA from 1 species